GUGUAGUUCAGUGAUAGAACACCUGCUUGGCAUGCAAAAGGUCCUGGGUUCAGUCCCUAGCAUCUAUG